rnacentral:rRNA from 1 species
CGGGUGAGUAACACGUGGGUAACCUGCCUUCAGCUCUGGGAUAAGCCCGGGAAACUGGGUCUAAUACCGGAUAUGACGCAUCACCGCAUGGUGUGUGUGUGGAAAGUUUUUCGGCUGAAGAUGGACUCGCGGCCUAUCAGCUUGUUGGUGGGGUAGUGGCCUACCAAGGCGAUGACGGGUAGCCGGCCUGAGAGGGCGACCGGCCACACUGGGACUGAGACACGACCAAGACUCAUACGGGAGGCAGCAGUGGGGAAUAUUGCGCAAUGGGCGAAAGCCUGACGCAGCAACGCCGCGUGAGGGAUGACGGCCUUCGGGUUGUAAACCUCUUUCAGCGCUGACGAAGCUUUCGGGUGACGGUAGGCGCAGAAGAAGCACCGGCUAACUACGUGCCAGCAGCCGCGGUAAUACGUAGGGUGCGAGCGUUGUCCGGAAUUAUUGGGCGUAAAGGGCUCGUAGGCGGUUUGUCACGUCUGCUGUGAAAGCCCGGGGCUUAACCCCGGGUCUGCAGUGGAUACGGGCAGGCUAGAGUUCGGCAGGGGAGACUGGAAUUCCUGGUGUAGCGGUGGAAUGCGCAGAUAUCAGGAGGAACACCGGUGGCGAAGGCGGGUCUCUGGGCCCGAUACUGACGCUGAGGAGCGAAAGCGUGGGAGCGAACAGGAUUAGAUACCCUGGUAGUCCACGCCGUAAACGUUGGGCGCUAGGUGUGGUUCCCUUCCACGGGGUCCGUGCCGUAGCUAACGCAUUAAGCGCCCCGCCUGGGGGAGUACGGCCGCAGGAUAAAACUCAAAGGGAUUGACGGGGGCCCCGCA